UUGAUUCUUUUUGAUGAUGGUUGAUAUGCCUUUUUCCCAGGCAGUCGUAAUUGUUCAGAAUUUUGGAGGUAGCAGAAGUAUACGUAGUAUACAGAUUGCUACACACUGGUCUGUUUUUGACAGAUUCUGUUUUUGUUGAGUUGGUUGCUUGUUUUGAUGAAACUAUGGUUAGUAUAGGGGGGUACUAGCCAUGGGAAAGUGACAAUACAGUAGCCCAACACAAAUGUAGAUAGAAUUCAAGUUUUCUACGGUACCAAAGGAGGUGGUAGUUUGUUUUCUUGUGCUAAUGAUAUCACGAGUUUCUGUUUAAGUUUUGUGUUGUGAAGUUUUCAAGUUUUGGGUGAUGUUCUCAUGGACAAAGAGAUAAGGAGUGGAAAGAGCUCAAGCUUGGGGAUGCCCAAGGCAUCCCAAGCCAAACUCAAGGACACCAAAAAGCC
rnacentral:lncRNA from 1 species